CCUACGGGGGGCUGCAGUAAGGAAUAUUGGUCAAUGGACGCAAGUCUGAACCAGCCAUGCCGCGUGGAGGAUGAAGGUCCUCUGGAUUGUAAACUUCUUUUAUUUGGGAAGAAACUCCCGAUUUCCAUCGGGAUUGACGGUACCAGAUGAAUAAGCACCGGCUAACUCCGUGCCAGCAGCCGCGGUAAUACGGAGGGUGCAAGAUUUAUUGGGAUUCACUGGGGUGUAGGGGUGCAGGUAUGGGCAUGGUGAAAUCGCCUGGCUUAACCCGGAAACUGCCAUUGAUACUAUUUGUCUUGAAUACUCUGGAGGUGAGCGGAAUAUGUCAUGUAGCGGUGAAAUGCUUAGAUAUGACAUAGAACACCCAUUGCGAAGGCAGCUCACUACGGAAAUAUUGACGCUGAGGCACGAAAGCGUGGGGAUCAAACAGGAUUAGAUACCCGUGUAGUC
rnacentral:rRNA from 1 species